GAGGGUAGAGCUCAGUGGUAGAGCAUGUGCUUAGCAUGCAUGAGGUCCUGGGUUCAAUCUCCAGUACCUCCC
rnacentral:tRNA from 1 species